UAGCGUAUAUUAAAGUUGUUGCAGUUAAAAAGCUCGUAGUCGAACUUCAGUUCGGUGUGCUCGGUCUGCCGAUGGGUAUGUACUGAGCUGCGCCGUUCUCGCAGCUGGCGACGCCGUGUGUUCUUAACUGAGCGUGCGGUGGACACAGCGUGUUUACUUUGAGAAAAUCAGAGUGUUUAAAGCAGGCCAAGAUUGCUCUUGCAUGGAUUAGCAUGGGAUAAUGAAAUAGGACUUUGGUGCUAUUUUGUUGGUUUCGAGUACCGAAGUAAUGAUUAAUAGGGAUAGUCAGGGGCACUUGUAUUCCGUUGAGAGAGGUGAAAUUCUUAGACCAAUGGAAGACAAACUACUGCGAAAGCAUUUG
rnacentral:rRNA from 1 species